rnacentral:rRNA from 1 species
UACAGAGGCCCCAAGCGUUACUGAGAAUCACUGGGUUUAAAGGGUGCGUAGGUGGUCCGUUAAGUCUGUUGUGAAAGCCCUUGGCUCAACCAAGGAAUUGCUUCGGAUACUGGCGGACUUGAGGGCCACAGAGGGACAUGGAACUCCAGGUGUAGUGGUGAAAUGCGUAGAUAUCUGGAAGAACACCAAAGGCGAAGGCAGUGUCCUGGGUGGUCGCUGACGCUGAGAGGCGAAAGCCAGGGGAGCGAACGGG